GGGGAUAUAGCUCAGUUGGUAGAGUGCCUGCCUUGCAUGCACAAGGCCCUGGUUCAAUCCCCGGCAUCCCCC
rnacentral:tRNA from 1 species